UAAAUAGCAUUUAGUGAUACGGUUACCAC
rnacentral:sRNA from 1 species